rnacentral:lncRNA from 1 species
AGAUAUUAACUGGCAUCCCGGCAGAGGAGCCAGUAGGAUGAGGCCCCAGAAUAGGCUGAAGCCAAGUUGUAGCAAACGCCAAGGUGUUCAUCCUGUGAUCAAAGAGGAGCUGCUUAAGGUCGGUGAGCUGAGCUGAGGGCAUUAAGAUGGAGAGUGUUGGCGUGUACGGAUUCUGUGGGUGUAAAGCAAAGAACAAAAUGAAGUGUGAUUCAAGGUGGGAAAUAGCCGCUUCAGCUCCCCCAGGCUGCAGCAGCUACCACACAAAGAAGCAGUCCUAUGGCAAUGACAGGACAUCUGUGUCCAGGAUUUGGAUUUGACGAACUGGCAGUUCCUGCAGGGAUGACGGUACUCCCUAGUUGUGUCUGAAUUGGACGCACCAGCACUUGAGCACACACAAACGCACGUGAACAGACGGAACAUGUUAUGGGCCUGUUAGCCAAGGAAUGACAGAAUUAAUCCAUGGGCAUUUGCGGCCAGUGUUGUGUUAAACUAAAGGGAAAAAGUGAACUGGAAAAAGCAAUGUUUGUUUUAUGAAAAUCUCAGACCCAAUCCUUAGGUGACAGUUCUGGAAAUGAGGGGUGUCUAAAACAAAGGGCAUCUGAAACUUCGGUUUUUCAGCUUCCUUUCCUUGUCUCAUGACCUCUUUCCUACCCGCUGCCUCUGUUUUCUCUAAUAUGGAACAGUGAAAAUGGGGGCCAGCAAAACAGAUUGCUGAUGUCUGUUGAUUUUAUCAAAGGAAGGUUAGAUUGAGUAAGAUGGCAUAAAUAAGCACACAUAGGACAAUACCUGGCAUAUAUCAGGUGCUCAAUAGCAGUGAAUUCUCUCCCUGCUGUCAUGAAUUCUUGAAGGUUGGAGACCAUGCGCUGUUCUGCGUGCCAAGUUAUUUUUUCGGCCUGAUAGCAGGUGAGCUACUGAGUGAAGACAGAGACUGGACGCUAAUUCAGCUCUGAAUCUUCAGCACCUGGCAUGGAAGGUGCACAGGACAUAUUUGAAAAAGGAGAAUUAAUAGAAUUGACCAAUAGGCUGACCUCCUGAAUGAUGACUGAGCAAAUUGAUCUAGAGGUAUUCAAAACAGUUUAGUUGACUGUCCCAAACUUUCUCAGACCUCUUCUGCCACUGACUUCCCUGAAAAGACCCUUUGCAGCCAGGCACGGUGGCUCAUGCCUGUAAUCCCAGCAUGUUGGGAGGCUGAGGUGGGCGGAUCACGAGGUCAAGAGAUUGAGACCAUCCUGGCCAACGUGGUGAAACCUCGUCUCUACUAAAAGUACAAAAAUUA